UUUUUAGCGCAUGGACAAAGAAAUUUGUUGACGAGGAUAGAACUUAUCGAAUAAUCAGCGGAUGGUUCUACGGCAUAUUACUGUCGUUAAUUACUGGCAAAAACGUGUGGCAACACAUGAACAAAUACAGUA
rnacentral:ncRNA from 1 species